GAAAUGCGAUAAGUAGUGUGAAUUGCAGAAUUCAGUGAAUCAUCGAAUCUUUGAACGCACAUUGCGCCCCUUGGUAUUCCAUGGGGCAUGCCUGUUCGAGCGUCAUUUGUACCUUCAAGCUUUGCUUGGUGUUGGGUGUUUGUCUCGCCUCUGCGCGCAGACUCGCCUCAAAACAAUUGGCAGCCGGCGUAUUGAUUUCGGAGCGCAGUAUAUCUCGCGCUUUGCACUCAUAACGACGACGUCCAAAAAGUACAUUUUUUACACUCUUGACCUCGGAUCAGGUAGGGAUACCCGCUGAACUUAAGC
rnacentral:misc_RNA from 1 species